AUUGAACGCUGGCGGAAUGCUUUACACAUGCAAGUCGAACGGCAGCACGGGGGCAACCCUGGUGGCGAGUGGCGAACGGGUGAGUAAUACAUCGGAACGUGCCCAGUCGUGGGGGAUAACGUAGCGAAAGUUACGCUAAUACCGCAUACGAUCUACGGAUGAAAGCGGGGGACCGUAAGGCCUCGCGCGAUUGGAGCGGCCGAUGUCAGAUUAGGUAGUUGGUGAGGUAAAGGCUCACCAAGCCGACGAUCUGUAGCUGGUCUGGGAGGACGACCGGCCACACUGGGACUGAGACACGGCCCAGACUCCUACGGGAGGCAGCAGUGGGGAAUUUUGGACAAUGGGCGCAAGCCUGAUCUAGCCAUUCCGCGUGCAGGACGAAGGCCUUCGGGUUGUAAACUGCUUUUGUACGGAACGAAAAGGCUCUGGUUAAUACCUGGGGCUCGUGACGGUACCGUAAGAAUAAGCACCGGCUAACUACGUGCCAGCAGCCGCCGUAA
rnacentral:rRNA from 1 species